rnacentral:tRNA from 2 species
CGGGGCGUAGCGCAGUUGGCUAGCGCGCAACGUUCGGGACGUUGAGGUCGUGGGUUCAACCCCCACCGCCCCGA